rnacentral:rRNA from 1 species
GGUUAAGCGACUAAGCGUACACGGUGGAUGCCCUGGCAGUCAGAGGCGAUGAAGGACGUGCUAAUCUGCGAUAAGCGUCGGUAAGGUGAUAUGAACCGUUAUAACCGGCGAUUUCCGAAUGGGGAAACCCAGUGUGAUUCGUCACACUAUCAUUAACUGAAUCCAUAGGUUAAUGAGGCGAACCGGGGGAACUGAAACAUCUAAGUACCCCGAGGAAAAGAAAUCAACCGAGAUUCCCCCAGUAGCGGCGAGCGAACGGGGAGCAGCCCAGAGCCUGAAUCAGUGUGUGUGUUAGUGGAAGCGUCUGGAAAGGCGCGCGAUACAGGGUGACAGCCCCGUACACAAAAAUGCACAUGCUGUGAGCUCGAUGAGUAGGGCGGGACACGUGGUAUCCUGUCUGAAUAUGGGGGGACCAUCCUCCAAGGCUAAAUACUCCUGACUGACCGAUAGUGAACCAGUACCGUGAGGGAAAGGCGAAAAGAACCCCGGCGAGGGGAGUGAAAAAGAACCUGAAACCGUGUACGUACAAGCAGUGGGAGCACGCUUAGGCGUGUGACUGCGUACCUUUUGUAUAAUGGGUCAGCGACUUAUAUUCUGUAGCAAGGUUAACCGAAUAGGGGAGCCGAAGGGAAACCGAGUCUUAACUGGGCGUUAAGUUGCAGGGUAUAGACCCGAAACCCGGUGAUCUAGCCAUGGGCAGGUUGAAGGUUGGGUAACACUAACUGGAGGACCGAACCGACUAAUGUUGAAAAAUUAGCGGAUGACUUGUGGCUGGGGGUGAAAGGCCAAUCAAACCGGGAGAUAGCUGGUUCUCCCCGAAAGCUAUUUAGGUAGCGCCUCGUGAAUUCAUCUCCGGGGGUAGAGCACUGUUUCGGCAAGGGGGUCAUCCCGACUUACCAACCCGAUGCAAACUGCGAAUACCGGAGAAUGUUAUCACGGGAGACACACGGCGGGUGCUAACGUCCGUCGUGAAGAGGGAAACAACCCAGACCGCCAGCUAAGGUCCCAAAGUCAUGGUUAAGUGGGAAACGAUGUGGGAAGGCCCAGACAGCCAGGAUGUUGGCUUAGAAGCAGCCAUCAUUUAAAGAAAGCGUAAUAGCUCACUGGUCGAGUCGGCCUGCGCGGAAGAUGUAACGGGGCUAAACCAUGCACCGAAGCUGCGGCAGCGACACUGUGUGUUGUUGGGUAGGGGAGCGUUCUGUAAGCCUGCGAAGGUGUGCUGUGAGGCAUGCUGGAGGUAUCAGAAGUGCGAAUGCUGACAUAAGUAACGAUAAAGCGGGUGAAAAGCCCGCUCGCCGGAAGACCAAGGGUUCCUGUCCAACGUUAAUCGGGGCAGGGUGAGUCGACCCCUAAGGCGAGGCCGAAAGGCGUAGUCGAUGGGAAACAGGUUAAUAUUCCUGUACUUGGUGUUACUGCGAAGGGGGGACGGAGAAGGCUAUGUUGGCCGGGCGACGGUUGUCCCGGUUUAAGCGUGUAGGCUGGUUUUCCAGGCAAAUCCGGAAAAUCAAGGCUGAGGCGUGAUGACGAGGCACUACGGUGCUGAAGCAACAAAUGCCCUGCUUCCAGGAAAAGCCUCUAAGCAUCAGGUAACAUCAAAUCGUACCCCAAACCGACACAGGUGGUCAGGUAGAGAAUACCAAGGCGCUUGAGAGAACUCGGGUGAAGGAACUAGGCAAAAUGGUGCCGUAACUUCGGGAGAAGGCACGCUGAUACGUAGGUGAAGUCCCUCGCGGAUGGAGCUGAAAUCAGUCGAAGAUACCAGCUGGCUGCAACUGUUUAUUAAAAACACAGCACUGUGCAAACACGAAAGUGGACGUAUACGGUGUGACGCCUGCCCGGUGCCGGAAGGUUAAUUGAUGGGGUCAGCGCAAGCGAAGCUCUUGAUCGAAGCCCCGGUAAACGGCGGCCGUAACUAUAACGGUCCUAAGGUAGCGAAAUUCCUUGUCGGGUAAGUUCCGACCUGCACGAAUGGCGUAAUGAUGGCCAGGCUGUCUCCACCCGAGACUCAGUGAAAUUGAACUCGCUGUGAAGAUGCAGUGUACCCGCGGCAAGACGGAAAGACCCCGUGAACCUUUACUAUAGCUUGACACUGAACAUUGAGCCUUGAUGUGUAGGAUAGGUGGGAGGCUUUGAAGUGUGGACGCCAGUCUGCAUGGAGCCGACCUUGAAAUACCACCCUUUAAUGUUUGAUGUUCUAACGUUGACCCGUAAUCCGGGUUGCGGACAGUGUCUGGUGGGUAGUUUGACUGGGGCGGUCUCCUCCUAAAGAGUAACGGAGGAGCACGAAGGUUGGCUAAUCCUGGUCGGACAUCAGGAGGUUAGUGCAAUGGCAUAAGCCAGCUUGACUGCGAGCGUGACGGCGCGAGCAGGUGCGAAAGCAGGUCAUAGUGAUCCGGUGGUUCUGAAUGGAAGGGCCAUCGCUCAACGGAUAAAAGGUACUCCGGGGAUAACAGGCUGAUACCGCCCAAGAGUUCAUAUCGACGGCGGUGUUUGGCACCUCGAUGUCGGCUCAUCACAUCCUGGGGCUGAAGUAGGUCCCAAGGGUAUGGCUGUUCGCCAUUUAAAGUGGUACGCGAGCUGGGUUUAGAACGUCGUGAGACAGUUCGGUCCCUAUCUGCCGUGGGCGCUGGAGAACUGAGGGGGGCUGCUCCUAGUACGAGAGGACCGGAGUGGACGCAUCACUGGUGUUCGGGUUGUCAUGCCAAUGGCACUGCCCGGUAGCUAAAUGCGGAAGAGAUAAGUGCUGAAAGCAUCUAAGCACGAAACUUGCCCCGAGAUGAGUUCUCCCUGACCCUUUAAGGGUCCUGAAGGAACGUUGAAGACGACGACGUUGAUAGGCCGGGUGUGUAAGCGCAGCGAUGCGUUGAGCUAACCGGUACUAAUGAACCGUGAGGCUUAACCUU